GACGAACGCUGGCGGCGUGCUUAAUACAUGCAAGUCGAACGGAAAGGCCCGGCGUUUGUGGGGUGCUCGAGUGGCGAACGGGUGAGUAAAACGUGAGUAACCUGCCCUUGACAUUGUGAUAACUUCAGGAAAAUGGGGCUAAUACCGGGGAGAAUCUCCUGCUGCAUGGGGGGGGUUUGAAAGUUGCGGCGGUUGGGGAUGGACUCGCGGCUUAUCAGCUUGCUGGUGGGGUAGGGGCUUACCAAGGCUUUGACGGGUAGCCGGCCUGAGAGGGUGACCGGCCACAUUGGGACUGAGAUACGGCCCAGACUCCUACGGGAGGCAGCAGUGGGGAAUAUUGCACAAUGGGCGGAAGCCUGAUGCAGCAACGCCGCGUGCGGGAUGACGGCCUUCGGGUUGUAAACCGCUUUCGCCUGUGACGAAGCGUGAGUGACGGUAAUGGGUAAAGAAGCACCGGCUAACUACGUG
rnacentral:rRNA from 1 species